CCUACGGGAGGCAGCAGUGAGGAAUAUUGGUCAAUGGGCGGGAGCCUGAACCAGCCAAGUCGCGUGGGGGAAGAAGGUCCUAUGGAUUGUAAACCUCUUUAGGCGGGGAACAAUGCCGGGCACGCGUGCCCGGAGGGAGAGUACCCGCAGAAUAAGCAUCGGCUAACUCCGUGCCAGCAGCCGCGGUAAUACGGAGGAUGCGAGCGUUAUCCGGAUUUAUUGGGCGUAAAGCGCUCGUAGGCGGUAUGUCAAGUCAAGGGUGAAAUCCCCGCGCUCAACGUGGGAACUGCCUUUGAAACUGGCAAACUGGAGUGUGUGAGAGGAGAGUGGAAUUCCAGGUGUAGGAGUGAAAUCCGUAGAUAUCUGGAGGAACAUCAGUGGCGAAGGCGACUAUCUGGCACAUAACUGACGCUGAGGAGCGAAAGUGUGGGUAGCAAACAGGAUUAGAUACCCUAGUAGUC
rnacentral:rRNA from 1 species